CACACACGCGCGCGCUCCCCAGCCUCCCCUCGCGAGGCUGCAGGAUCUGGAAGGGAGGAGACGCUGGAGCACAGACUUCGCGUAGACGAGGCCCUCGUUCAGCGAGGGGCAGCCCAGCGUCCUGCGGAUGGAGAUGAACUAAGAAUGUGUUCAACGCACGUACUCAUUGGAUCUUCAGUGCCUGGGACUGAGAAGUGAGACGUGCACCCCCAUUCUCCAGAUGCAGCAACUGAGGCACUGAGAGGUACAGUAAUGUGCCUGAGGACAUGCAGCCAGUUUAAGCAGCAGAACCAGGACUAGAUCACAAGGCACCUGCCAGCACCCUGUUCCCCAAGUACCCUGCUAUGCCGCUAUGGGCAGCCAGAUCCUUCAGCUGAAGUAUGAGGGCACCUCAAUGACCUCAUGCAAAAUGGAAUUACAAGCCAAGAAAAAUCAGGAAAGAUGAAAGUGAGAGGUUGUCAGAUGAAGACAAGCGACAGGCGGAACCAGGGAGACAAAGCCUUCGGGGCAUCUGGGUACGUGUCCAGUGCCCAGAAAAGGACCAGGAGGAAUACAAUCCCAGCCCGCAUCCCAGACCCAGAGGGGACCUUACUCAUCAGCUCCUUCAACGCCUGGCUUCAGGCAGCGCCACCGCUCCGCCUCCAAGCGCAGAUGACUGCUGAUUUUUGGAGGGCUGCUUAAUUCUCCCUUAGACAUCAAAUUCUUGUGCCACAUUUUCAGGAAAGCUUGUUAACACAUCAUCACGGAUCCCUGGACAAUCUCCCCCAUGAUUCAAUGCCAGUGUGAGUAUUUCCAGCCGCUCUCAAGUCUGGAUCUCUCUUAGACAUCAAUAACCUAAGCUGUGCCCCGAAUACAACAAUACACUGCUGCCGCCGGCUCCUGCUGCCUCGCUGUGUGAAAAGACAAUCAACAGACCCGGUAAGGGUGUUGUGGGCAGGCUUCUCUAAUGUCCUGCUGGCGUUUCUAAGGGUUGGCUUAGGUCCGCAAAGAAAUCUGGUGAUGAAGGAAAAGCCUUGACAAAGUUCGUGUGCACGGAUCCAGUGACUCCAUUUCUAGAUGUCUCUGAAGGUCUUCAAAAACUCACAUAGAUACAGAUAUUCAUCAUAACAGUCAUAACAGGAAAUGAGAAAAAUCCUCAAUAUUCAAGACUGGGCAAAAGUAACUAAAUUACAGUAUAAACAGAAUGGAAUUUUAUGGAGAUAUGAACAACAAAAUUAAAAUGCCUUUUAAUGAUGUGAGAACUUAUCUCUAUUUUUGAGUUUCCUACAGUGGUUGUGUUAUAGUUACAAUAUAAAAAUGGCUUUUGAAGUACAUCAUAAAGCCUUAUGAGCUUAAGUGUGCGUGGGCCCAUAAAUUCUGAACAUCCAGUGGGAACGCUGAGCUCAUCUAAUCCCAGGUUCCCAUUUUACAGGUGAAGAGACUGAGGACCUGAGAAGUGCGAUGACUGUCCCUCGUCCCAGGGGUCUUCCACAAGAUUUAGAAGCAGAUCCCAGUUAGAUCCAAAGAGAUUCAGGAGCAGACCUCCUGCCUACAUGCCCCCUGCAGUGAGCAUUCCUCACCCUUGGGCAGGCGUCAGAUCCUCCUGGUGGACUUGUGGGAACAGAUGUCUGGGUCCAGCCCUGGAGUUUCUGGUUCAGCCAGCAAGAAAUGAGGGCCAAGAAUCUGCAUUGCUAAUAGGUUCCCAGGAGAGGCCGACGUUGCUGGUCUUGGGAAUACACUAUGAAAACUCUU